rnacentral:rRNA from 1 species
UGCGUAGGCGGUUUAGUAAGUCAGAUGUGAAAGCCCCGGGCUCAACCUGGGAAUUGCAUUUGAUACUGCUGAACUAGAGUAUGGUAGAGGGAAGUGGAAUUCCGGGUGUAGCGGUGAAAUGCGUAGAUAUCCGGAGGAACACCAGUGGCGAAGGCGACUUCCUGGACCAAUACUGACGCUGAGGUACGAAAGCGUGGGUAGCAAACA